CAACGUUGCCAUAAACAUAUUAAAUAUCCCACAUAGCAUACUACAAACUUAGUUAAUGAAACAUUUUUUAAAAUGUUAUUUUACACUUCUAGGCAUCAACGUUCUAGAGAUCAGGACUGAGUUAAAACGAGAUCUUCCUCAUUUUAAGAUUUUCCUGGAUUCCUGGGUUUCAGGACACACCUUUCUCCACCCCCAAGAUUUGGCAUUGCUGUAGCAUCCCGUCUGCCGAUCCCUGUGGUUUCUGCUCGCAUCAUCAAACUUCUUUCUACGACUCUCCUGCAACUCCCUUUUCCUUCAUAAAGGAGGCGUCUCUCCCUGAACCUGGAACACGCCGUUCUGGCUAAGCGGACUGUCUUGUGAGUCCGCAGGAACGACCUGCCUGUGCUGUGCCUCUGUCCUGCUCGAGCUACCGACAUCCCCUGGUUUCUGGAAACAGGAAUGCAGAUGUUCAUGCUUCUGUAGCUGCUGUCACAACUGGGCUCGAUUCCCAUAUCCUCCUGUUACCCUAGUUCAACCAGCACACGGAUGGAUAAUCUUCUCAUGACCUUAACCUGAGUGCGCUUACAGUCUAACCUGUUGUAGGAGGAGACUUUGCUUCAGACUGUGGUUAUCAGGACAUGGGCAACUUUUGGACUCUCUAUUCUGUCUCUAUCUCAUGCCAACCCUCUGUUCCCCAUUAUGAAGGACUGCCAGAUUGUUUCAAAAUGGCACCAUUUUACAUUCCCGCUAGCAACAUAGGACGUUUCAAAAAUUUCCAGCACGAUCAGAAAUACUUUAAAUGGUGAUAAGCUUUGUUGUUUUUUACUUAUUUUUAUUUUUUUAGAGAAGUUUAAAUUCACAGCAAAAUACAGAACAGGAAAUUCAAGAGUUCUGCAGACACUUUCAGCCCGUUCACUGUGGGUAGCCCAUAUUACUGACACAUUUGUCUAUGCAUAGCCACUGCAGACAUCCUGUAUGACCAAGACACAUUUGUUACAGUCACCGAGCUUGCACUGGCAUCAUUAUACCCCAAAGUCCUUACUUUACAUUGGCUUUCAUGCUGGGCGUUGGACAUUCUACCAGAGUGACAAAGCCAUAGUGACAUGCAUCCUCCAUUGCAGUGUGACACAGAAGUGUCCCAUAGCUCAAAAUUUCCUCAGUGUUCUGCUUACACAGUCCCUUUUCCUUUUAGCCUCUAGCACUCACCUAUCUUCUCGAAACGUGGUAUAGUUGGGAGUAUAUUUAUUUACUUAUUUAAAAGUAAACAGUAUGAUUUGUUUACUUUUGUACUGUUUGAGAAUUCCAUACAAUCACAUAAUAUGCUCUACUGUAGUCCUCUCAAAUAUUCUCAGACCUCCCACCACUAUUAUCCCCAAGUUCCAUUUUCUUCCCCAAUGAGUCCACUUAAUGGCUGCCAGUAUGUGCAUGGGGGUAGGGCCAUCUACUAGAUCAUGGGUAACUUACCAGAGGCUACCUCCUCAAAGAAAACUGACCCUCCCUCUCUUAGCAACAGGCAACUUCCAACAGCUCCUCAGGUAGGGCUUGGGACUCAGGGUGACUCCAUAUUGGGAUUUUUCUUUUAUCUUGAUGUGCUCUUGUGCAUGCUGCUGCAGUCACCAUGAGCUCAUGAGCACAAUUGCCUUCUUGUGGCUGGAAAACACUGUCACUCUGUAGUCAUGCACUGCCUUUGGCUCACACAGUCUUUCUGUCCUGCAUUCCACAGUGAUACCUGAGCAUCGUCAGCGUGUGCUGUGUAGAGCUCCCACUCAAGGAUGAAUACCACAGUCUUUUAUUUGCCACAUAUUGACCAGUUGAGGGCCUUUUCCCCAUUCUGCUCUUAUGUCAUAUACAUGUGCACAGAUGGGUGAGUGCAUGUGUGUGUGUGUUUGCACACGCGUGUAUAAAUUCUAUAAAUGACAAAUGUUAGAACACAUACCUUUUAUCUUUUGCACCUGAACUAUUUCAUAUAAUAACAUGACUCCAGUUUAACUUCUUUUAUGGCAAAUGGCAUAAUUUCAUUCUGCUUUAUGGCUGAAUAAAACUCAAUUGUCUGCUAA